UACGGAGAGUGCAAGCAUCAAUCGGAAUUAUUGGGCGUAAAGGGCGCGUAGGCGGAAUUAUAAGUCAGAUGUGAAAUUCUGAAGCUCAACUUCAGAGCUGCAUUUGAAACUAUAAAUCUAGAGGGUUGACGGAGAAAACGGAAUUCCACGUGUAGCGGUGAAAUGCGUAGAUAUGUGGAAGAACACCUGUGGCGAAAGCGGUUUUCUAGUUAAUACCUGACGCUGAGGCGCGAGAGCAAGGGGAGCAAACAGG
rnacentral:rRNA from 1 species